GAUGAACGCUAGCUACAGGCUUAACGCAUGCAAGUCGAGGGGAAACGACAUCGAAAGCUUGCUUUUGAUGGGCGUCGACCGGCGCACGGGUGAGUAACGCGUAUCCAACCUGCCCAUCACUUGGGAAUAACCUUGCGAAAGUAAGACUAGUACCCAAUGACAUCCCACGAAGACAUCUGAAUGGGAUUAAAGAUUUAUCGGUGAUGGAUGGGGAUGCGUCUGAUUAGCUUGUUGGCGGGGUAACGGCCCACCAAGGCAACGAUCAGUAGGGGUUCUGAGAGGAGGGUCCCCCACAUUGGAACUGAGACACGGUCCAAACUCCUACGGGAGGCAGCAGUGAGGAAUAUUGGUCAAUGGGCGAGAGCCUGAACCAGCCAAGUAGCGUGCAGGAGGACGGCCCUAUGGGUUGUAAACUGCUUUUAUAAGGGAAUAAAGUGGGUCUCGUGAGACUUUUUGCAUGUACCUUAUGAAUAAGGACCGGCUAAUUCCGUG
rnacentral:rRNA from 1 species